rnacentral:rRNA from 1 species
UAAGUUGGUAGUGAAAUCCUGGGGCUCAACCCUUUAAACAUUAUCAAAACUGCUUAGCUAGAGGACGAGAGAGGUCACUGGAAUUCCUAGUGUAGGAGUGAAAUCCGUAGAUAUUAGGAGGAACACCGAUGGCGUAGGCAGGUGACUGGCUUGUUCCUGACACUAAGGCACGAAAGCGUGGGGAGCGAACGGGAUUAGAUACCCCGGUAGUCCACGCCGUAAACGAUGGAUGCUA